rnacentral:rRNA from 1 species
AGAGUUUGAUCCUGGCUCAGGAUGAACGCUGGCGGCGUGCUUAACACAUGCAAGUCGAACGAACCUUCGGGUUAGUGGCGGACGGGUGAGUAACGCGUGGGAAUCUGCCCUCAGGAGGGGGAUAACGGUUGGAAACGACCGCUAAUACCCCAUAUGCCGAGAGGUGAAAUGAAUUUCGCCUGAGGAUGAGCCCGCGUCUGAUUAGCUAGUUGGUGUGGUAAUGGCUCACCAAGGCUUCGAUCAGUAGCUGGUCUGAGAGGAUGAUCAGCCACACUGGGACUGAGACACGGCCCAGACUCCUACGGGAGGCAGCAGUGGGGAAUUUUCCGCAAUGGGCGAAAGCCUGACGGAGCAACGCCGCGUGAGGGAUGAAGGCCUCUGGGCUGUAAACCUCUUUUCUCAAGGAAGAAGAUCUGACGGUACUUGAGGAAUAAGCCACGGCUAAUUCCGUGCCAGCAGCCGCGGUAAUACGGGAGUGGCAAGCGUUAUCCGGAAUUAUUGGGCGUAAAGCGUCCGCAGGCGGCCUUUCAAGUCUGCUGUUAAAAAGUGGAGCUUAACUCCAUCAUGGCAGUGGAAACUGUUGGGCUUGAGUGUGGUAGGGGCAGAGGGAAUUCCCGGUGUAGCGGUGAAAUGCGUAGAUAUCGGGAAGAACACCAGUGGCGAAGGCGCUCUGCUGGGCCAUAACUGACGCUCAUGGACGAAAGCCAGGGGAGCGAAAGGGAUUAGAUACCCCUGUAGUCCUGGCCGUAAACGAUGAACACUAGGUGUCGGGGGAAUCGACCCCCUCGGUGUCGUAGCCAACGCGUUAAGUGUUCCGCCUGGGGAGUACGCACGCAAGUGUGAAACUCAAAGGAAUUGACGGGGGCCCGCACAAGCGGUGGAGUAUGUGGUUUAAUUCGAUGCAACGCGAAGAACCUUACCAGGAUUUGACAUCCUGCGAAUCUCUUGGAAACGAGAGAGUGCCUUCGGGAACGCAGUGACAGGUGGUGCAUGGCUGUCGUCAGCUCGUGUCGUGAGAUGUUGGGUUAAGUCCCGCAACGAGCGCAACCCACGUUUUUAGUUGCCAGCAUUUAGUUGGGCACUCUAGAGAGACCGCCGGUGAUAAACCGGAGGAAGGUGUGGAUGACGUCAAGUCAUCAUGCCCCUUACAUCCUGGGCUACACACGUACUACAAUGCUACGGACAAAGGGCAGCGAACUCGCGAGGGCAAGCAAAUCCCAUAAACCGUGGCUCAGUUCAGAUCGUAGGCUGCAACUCGCCUACGUGAAGGAGGAAUCGCUAGUAAUCGCAGGUCAGCAUACUGCGGUGAAUACGUUCCCGGGCCUUGUACACACCGCCCGUCACACCAUGGAAGUUGGCCACGCCCGAAGUCGUUACUCCAACCCUUGUGGAGGAGGACGCCGAAGGUGGGGCUGAUGACUGGGGUGAAGUCGUAACAAGGUA